rnacentral:rRNA from 1 species
AGAGUUUGAUCAUGGCUCAGAGCGAACGCUGGCGGCAGGCUUAACACAUGCAAGUCGAGCGCCUGUAGCAAUACAGGAGCGGCAGACGGGAGAGUAACACGUGGGAACAUACCCUUUGGUUCGGAAUAACUCAGGGAAACUUGAGCUAAUACCGGAUACGCCCUUACGGGGAAAGAUUUAUUGCCGAAGGAUUGGCCCGCGUCCGAUUAGCUAGUUGGUGAGGUAACGGCUCACCAAGGCGACGAUCGGUAGCUGGUCUGAGAGGAUGAUCAGCCUCAUUGGGACUGAGACACGGCCCAAACUCCUACGGGAGGCAGCAGUGGGGAAUAUUGGACAAUGGGCGCAAGCCUGAUCCAGCCAUGCCGCGUGGGUGAUGAAGGCCUUAGGGUUGUAAAGCCCUUUCGGCGGGGAAGAUAAUGACGGUACCCGCAGAAGAAGCCCCGGCUAACUUCGUGCCAGCAGCCGCGGUAAUACGAAGGGGGCUAGCGUUGCUCGGAAUCACUGGGCGUAAAGCGCACGUAGGCGGACUCUUAAGUCGGUGGUGAAAUCCUGGAGCUCAACUCCAGAACUGCCUUCGAUACUGGGAGUCUUUGAGUUCGGGAGAGGUGAGUGGAACUGCGAGUGUAGAGGUGAAAUUCGUAGAUAUUCGCAAGAACACCAGUGGCGAAGGCGGCUCACUGGCCCGAUACUGACGCUGAGGUGCGAAAGCGUGGGGAGCAAACAGGAUUAGAUACCCUAGUAGUCC